GCAAUAUCAUUGUUAUAUGACUGUGUUUGCUGGGUAUUAUCUAAAAUAUCUUCCAAGAUAAUAUAUAGCCAAUACAAUAUCUUUGUGCCUUCCCAUAUACGUUUGUAUAAACAAUUGGAAAGUACCCUUUAGUGUGAAGAAUCUGGUAUUACUACGCUAGGCUUUACUUUUCAAUAUGGCAGAAUCUACGAAGACGGCAGUCGUACACGCAUAACUAUCGUCUCAAAACGUGAACAGUGUCAAGAUUUUGUGAAUGUGAACAAAAGAUACACCACGUGGCAACCGCGUGUAACAAAGGAUAUAUCACGUGACAACUUAUAACGAAGUACACCUCCUUUUGUAUCAUUAUUUUUAUAUUUGGCAAUGGUACAACGAUUUCGCUUACAAAAAUUUAUUUUAAAAAUAAACAGAUUUAUGUUACUGGUAAAAAAUACUUGAAUAUUAAGUCAUUUUUUCACAUUCCAUGUGACUCUUUAACUAUUGGAAUUAAACAAAUUAACGAGUUACAAUAUGAGCUAAUAACUGUUCCAUUGUCUAAUAUUAAAUCAAAAUGUGUAAAACUGCCUUUAUGUGACAAAGAAGCUGUAGUAUUGCCUUUACUACACCAACAAGAAAUAUGUUUAUGAUUAUUAAUAAUGGCGAAAAAUUUCGCUGUCGUAACUUUUACAAGCGAUGGGAAUAAUGAAGAGGAGAUUGUAUCAGAAGUUCCAUCUUUAUGGCUUUCUCCCAAUUUAAUACAAUGCUGGUGGCCAACGGUAAAAAAUAUAAAUACGUUUAUCGCAAAACAAAUUCCAUCUGUUACUAAUGAUCCUAAAUGGUCACUUCAUCCCAUUAAAUUUCAUGGAUAUUAUGAUUCAUUAGAUCAAGCUAGACAGAGAGCAACGAACUAUUCUUCAAGCGAAGAAAGCAAUAUAAAUAAAAUAAAGAAGUCACGCACAAAACAAUUACCAAAAAUUGUUUCUAACAAUGAGUCUGAAUCUGAUUGUAAUGUCUCACCUUCAAUUAUAUCAAAUCCACCAAAUCUUACAGAUAAAAAUAUCCUACAAUUAGUCGAUAAAAUAUCAAAUAUUUUUAAUUCAUCAGUUAUAAAUGAUAUUAACAUGGAGGCUCUUGAGGGAAUUAUAGUAUCACACAAAAGCAUACAGGACGUACAUACAUUAGUAUCAGAAAUGUUCGAUAAAAUGGAAGAUCAUUUUAAAAAAUUAUAUACAGCUGUAACUACAGUUUCAUUAGAAAUACAAGAUCUAAAUGUUCGUUUAACAAACAUAGAAAAACAAAAUAAUCAACAUAAGCCUGAAGUAUCUGGUAUGGAUAUAUCAAAUAUGCGACGAUCUUUUCCGUUUCAAAGUAUUGAUGAAGUCAUAGCUUUUGAAAACAGUUCACAAAUUACAGAUGAGUACAACAAAUUUGUGUUGUAUAUAUCUCGCAUAGGUGGAAGGUCCGCUAAGGAAACUUUAAUUCGUAUAUACCGAACUUUAUUUUCCAAUGAAGUUGCCAAAGUAUCGUCUUGGAAAGGAUUACGCAAUCAUUUAAAAAUCAGUAGCUUAAAGUCUAUAUUAAUGGGAAUACAAGCAACAAUUUCGGAUCAACAUCAAUUCACAAACAAAGAGUUUGAAGAUAUCACAAAAGAAUGGUUCCGCCAAGGUGGUCAGAGGCUUAACAGACAACAAAAAGACACCGAAGAAAUUUUGGUGUUCUAAAUUCGAAACACUACACCCCUAACAGCACAUGAUAUCAUUCGAAUAUUCUAUACACAUACUGUGAAUGUACGUACUGAACAUAAUAUACUGAGAACAUCCCUACAAUAUCUCUUAUAGUAUAUUAUUUCUUGUAUAUUCUCAGAAUAUACUUUUAAUAUCUUUUUCAGUAUAUUAUGUUUCGUAUAUUCUUCAUAUAUUCUUAGAAUAUACUUUCGAGUUAUGCAGAUAGUAGCGCAUUUUACGUCAUUUCCGAUAUUGCCGGUACCAGUUUUCUUGAUUGUCGCCUGAUACCGCAUGGUUUUUGGUUGGUCUCUAAGAAUUAUCGACGAAUUUAGAGUUCGUACAUAAGUGUUCUUUAACAUAUUAAGAACAUAAUUUGAAACGCGCUUAUUAAAUAUACUGGAUAGCGUAGUGGACUAGAACGAGGGCUGUGGAGCUCAACGACGCAGGUUCAAAUCCCGUGUGAGGUAAGUGGAAAUUUUAAUUAACAAAAUGUAUAUAGUAUACAUAUAUAUCAAAUAGCAAAGCUCAGGAGUAAAUAUAGUAAGAAUAUAUUAAUUGAUAAAUAGGUAAAAAUUAAUUUUUUUAUAUAUAUUUUUAAUCUAGCCCAGGCUAGCUCAUUACUAGACAAAUAUAUUUGUCUAGUGGCUAGGACUUCUAAAUGGCUCAGUACUAGCUACGUUUGCUAGACGGGGGCUACAAUAUAAAUAAUAUAUAAAAUAUAUAAUAUAAAACACGUAUCGGCUAGCUAGUGACUGCGGCUACCGACUAGGUUAAAUUUCCACUCGGGAUACUGGAAACGUUCUAUUAAUAUACUAUCAAUAUACUGAAAGAUAUUCGCAGUAUAUACUAUGAACUAGGAAAAAGUGGACAUUAGAUCAUUCUCAGUAUGUACUCAGUAUAUCGUGGUACGUAUCUCGAAUGUUCUGAGAAUAUUCGCAACAUACUUUUGCGAUAUUCUCCGAACAUUCUUAAUAUCUACAUGUGCUGUUAGGGACUGUCUAUUUUUAUUAUGAGUUAAGUUCUUAACAUCGUUAUUUGAAUUAAAUAUUUCUUUUAAGAGAAUUAGCAGAAUGAAUAUACAUUUUGAUAUUUGUAAUUCUUCCUUCGACAACUUUUUAAUUACAAACAGUAUAAUAUUGUAUAACAUUAUUGCUUUUUCCAAUAAUAUCGAAUUACUUGCAUUUCCAUUUUCGUUUAAAUUAGAUACAAUGUGUAUUUUUGUUUAAAUUAGAUUGUUUAAAUUAGAACUCUAACGGUACACCUAUGUAUUUUUGACGCAUAUUAUUAAUUAUACAUGAAUAAAAGUAUACACUUUAACGUGUAUGUUCAUGAAAAGAUCAUUGAUGUAAAAAUUAUAGUUCUCAUGCGAGGAGAAGUCUAGUAAAACUUACUUCUUAUUAACGUACAG
rnacentral:misc_RNA from 1 species